rnacentral:tRNA from 1 species
ACUCUUGUCGUCUAGCGGUCUAGGACAAUGGCCUUUCACGUCAUGAACGGGGGUUCGAGUCCCCUCAAGAGUACCA